rnacentral:snoRNA from 1 species
AAGACUAUACUUUCAGGGAUCAUUUCUAUAGUUCAUUACUUUGUGCAGAGAAGGCCAGUUCAUAUUUGAUGAAGGGCAGUUGCAACCUUAAUGAAAAAU